rnacentral:rRNA from 1 species
CUACCCGGGUAUCUAAUCCUGUUUGCUCCCCACGCUUUCGCACCUCAGCGUCAAUAACUGUCCAGUGAGUCGCCUUCGCCACUGGUGUUCUUCCGAAUAUCUACGAAUUUCACCUCUACACUCGGAAUUCCACUCACCUCUCCAGUAUUCUAGCCAUCCAGUUUCAAGGGCAGUUCCGGGGUUGAGCCCCGGGAUUUCACCCCUGACUUGAAAAGCCGCCUACGUGCGCUUUACGCCCAGUAAUUCCGAACAACGCUAGCUCCCUCCGUAUUACCGCGGCUGCUGGCAC